GAAGAUUGAUUGUUAAGCUGAAA
rnacentral:piRNA from 1 species